AGUGAACGCUGGCGGCAGGCCUAACACAUGCAAGUCGAACGGCAGCACAGUAAGUGCUUGCUCUUAUGGGUGGCGAGUGGCGGAAGGGAGAGGAAGACAUCGUAAUCUACUCUUUCGUGGGGGAUAACGAAGGGAAGUCUACGCUAAUACAGCAUAAGACCUACGGGUGUAAGGAGGGGAGCUUUGUAGCUUUGGCGUGUGAAUGAGCCGAUGCAGGAUUAGCUAGUUGGCGGGGUAAAGGCCCACCACGGCGACGAUCCGUAGCUGGUCUGAGUGGAUGUACAGCCACACUGGAGCUGAGACACGGUCCUGACUCCUACGGGAGGCAGCAGUGGCGAAGAUUGGACGAUGGGCGCAAUCCUGCUCCAGCCGUGCCACGUGGGUGAAGAAGGCCUUCGGGUUGUAAAACCCUUUUGUUGUGGAAGAAAAGCAGCAGGUUAAUACCCCGCUGUUCUGACGGUACCCAAAGAAGAAGCACCGGCUAACUACGUG
rnacentral:rRNA from 1 species